rnacentral:rRNA from 1 species
UGGGGAAUAUUGCACAAUGGGCGCAAGCCUGAUGCAGCCAUGCCGCGUGUAUGAAGAAGGCCUUCGGGUUGUAAAGUACUUUCAGCGGGGAGGAAGGCGAUAAGGUUAAUAACCUUGUCGAUUGACGUUACCCGCAGAAGAAGCACCGGCUAACUCCGUGCCAGCAGCCGCGGUAAUACGGAGGGUGCAAGCGUUAAUCGGAAUUACUGGGCGUAAAGCGCACGCAGGCGGUCUGUCAAGUCGGAUGUAAAAUCCCCGGGCUCAACCUGGGAACUGCAUUCGAAACUGGCAGGCUAGAGUCUUGUAGAGGGGGGUAGAAUUCCAGGUGUAGCGGUGAAAUGCGUAGAGAUCUGGAGGAAUACCGGUGGCGAAGGCGGCCCCCUGGACAAAGACUGACGCUCAGGUGCGAAAGCGUGGGGAGCAAACA